UACGUAGGUGGCAAGCGUUGUCCGGAUUUACUGGGCGUAAAGGGCGUGCAGGCGGUUUGUUAAGUCUAGGGUGAAAGCUCCCGGCUCAACUGGGAGAGGUCCUUGGAUACUGGCGAACUUGAGGGAUGCAGAGGAAAGUGGAAUUCCUGGUGUAGCGGUGAAAUGCGCAGAUAUCAGGAGGAACACCGGUGGCGAAGGCGGGUCUCUGGGCCGAUACUGACGCUGAGGAGCGAAAGCGUGGGGAGCGAACAGG
rnacentral:rRNA from 1 species